GUCCGUCCAGCUCAGUUGGUUAGAGCACAAGGCUAUUAAUCUUGUGGUCGUGGGAUUGAGUCCCACAGUGGACA